rnacentral:rRNA from 1 species
UACGUAGGGUGCAAGCGUUAAUCGGAAUUACUGGGCGUAAAGCGUGUGCAGGCGGUGAUGUAAGACAGAUGUGAAAUCCCCGGGCUCAACCUGGGAACUGCAUUUGUGACUGCAUCGCUGGAGUGCGGCAGAGGGGGAUGGAAUUCCGCGUGUAGCAGUGAAAUGCGUAGAGAUGUGGAGGAACACCGAUGGCGAAGGCAGCCUCCUGGGCCAACACUGACGCUCAUGCACGAAAGCGUGGGGAGCAAACAGG